rnacentral:lncRNA from 1 species
AUGCCGACAUUCUGCGGUGGUGGCUGGAUAUGUUCUGUGGCUGGACAUUUUUCGGUGAUGGAUUUAUCGUCGGUGGUCGAUCGCGGUGGUCAGUGUACAUGUUCGUUGUUAUUAAUGUUGUCAAUAGAAUUAGUUCAAGAAUUCAAAAAAAGGAACUUGUCUCAGAAUGAGCUCAGCAAAUUGGGAUAUCUAAAUAGUGGUCUUCCACAAGACAAAACAACACCUUAG